UACGUAGGUGGCAAGCGUUUGUCCGGAAUUAUUGGGCGUAAAGCGCGCGCAGGCGGUCCUUUAAGUCUGAUGUGAAAGCCCACGGCUCAACCGUGGAAGGUCAUUGGAAACUGGAGGACUUGAGUACAGAAGAGGAAAGCGGAAUUCCACGUGUAGCGGUGAAAUGCGUAGAGAUGUGGAGGAACACCAGUGGCGAAGGCGGCUUUCUGGUCUGUAACUGACGCUGAGGCGCGAAAGCGUGGGGAGCAAACAGG
rnacentral:rRNA from 1 species